UACGAAGGGGGCUAGCGUUGCUCGGAAUCACUGGGCGUAAAGCGCACGUAGGCGGAUUGUUAAGUCAGGGGUGAAAUCCUGGAGCUCAACUCCAGAACUGCCUUUGAUACUGACGGUCUUGAGUUCGGGAGAGGUGAGUGGAACUGCGAGUGUAGAGGUGAAAUUCGUAGAUAUUCGCAAGAACACCAGUGGCGAAGGCGGCUCACUGGCCCGAUACUGACGCUGAGGCACGAAAGCGUGGGGAGCAAACAGG
rnacentral:rRNA from 1 species